rnacentral:rRNA from 1 species
CGAUUAAGUAAUGAAGGGCGCACGGUGGAUGCCUUGGCACUGAGAGCCGAUGAAGGACGGAACAAACACCGAUAUGCUCUGGGGAGCUGUAAGUAGGCGUUGAUCCAGAGAUUUCCGAAUGGGGGAACCCCACACAUUGAGUGUGACUUCCAGGUGAAUACAUAGCCUGGAAGAGGUAGACCCGGGGAACUGAAACAUCUUAGUACCCGGAGGAAGAGAAAGAAAAAUCGAUUCCCUGAGUAGCGGCGAGCGAAACGGGAAGAGCCCAAACCAGCUUCGGCUGGGGUUGUAGGACACCGAUGAGACUGAAGUUUGCGAGCGGAAGGGCCUGGAACGGCCGACCAUAGGGGGUAAGAGUCCCGUAGGCGAAGCGAAUGGAUGUUGCGGUGGAUCCUGAGUACGGCGGAACACGAGGAAUUCCGUCGGAAUCCGGGAGGACCAUCUCCCAAGGCUAAAUACUCCUCAGUGACCGAUAGUGGACCAGUACCGUGAGGGAAAGGUGAAAAGCACCCCGGAAGGGGAGUGAAAUAGAACCUGAAACCGUGUGCUUACAAGUAGUCAGAGCCCGUUAAUGGGUGAUGGCGUGCCUUUUGUAGAAUGAACCGGCGAGUUGCGAUUUCAUGCAAGGUUAAGCAGCGAAUGCGGAGCCGUAGCGAAAGCGAGUCUGAACAGGGCGUAUAGUAUGGGGUUGCAGACCCGAAACCAGGUGAUCUACCCAUGUCCAGGCUGAAGUCCAGGUAACACUGGAUGGAGGGCCGAACCGACUUACGUUGAAAAGUGACCGGAUGAGGUGUGGGUAGCGGAGAAAUUCCAAUCGAACCUGGAGAUAGCUGGUUCUCUCCGAAAUAUAUUUAGGUAUAGCCUCGUGUUAGCAUCGUGGAGGUAGAGCACUGUUUGGACGAGGGGCCCAUCCCGGGUUACCGAAUUCAGACAAACUCCGAAUGCCACGGAUGUGAUGCACGGGAGUCAGACAGCGGGUGAUAAGGUCCGUUGUCGAGAGGGAAACAGCCCAGACCACCAGUUAAGGUCCCAAAAUAUAUGUUGAGUGGAAAAGGAUGUGGCGUUGCACAGACAAC